rnacentral:rRNA from 1 species
UACGUAGGCAGCGAGCGUUGUUCGGAGUUACUGGGCGUAAAGCGUGCGCAGGCGGUUCGUUGUGUCGGUGGUGAAAUCCCCGGGCUUAACCUGGGAAUGGCCAUGGAAACUGGCGAACUGGAGUGCGGCAGAGGGGGGUGGAAUUCCGCGUGUAGCAGUGAAAUGCGUAGAGAUGCGGAGGAACACCGAUGGCGAAGGCAGCCCCCUGGGCUAGCACUGACGCUCAGGCACGAAAGCGUGGGGAGCAAACAGG